CCAAGGGAAGCGGAGGAAGGGAGGCAUUCACAGGUCCUGGCUUCCGAUUCUGACAUCCCUGUAACUGUGAACAUACAGAAGCUGCUCUCAUGAGCAACCAAGAGCGGGUUAAGGCUGCCACUGCCAUGGAAAACCCAGCUGUGGAGUCCUCCUGCUAAAUGAGGUCUUGUGGUAGCAAGCAUAACUUGUCGCCUUAGCUAAGCAAGGUCCACCCUAGUUGCAUAUGAAAGGGAGACUAGAAGUGUGAGCACUGGAAGAUAUUCCCCCCAGGGGAUGGAGCUGCUCUGGGAAGAGCAUCAGAAGGUUCCAAGUUCCCUCCCUGGCAUCUCCAAGAUAGGGCUGAGAGAGAUUCCUGCCCAUAAUCUUGGAGAAGCCGCUACCAGUCUGUGUAGACAAUACUGAGCUAGAUGGACCAAUGGUCUGACCAACCCCCUACUCUCUGUGCUGCUGGAAGCUACUGGCAACCGUGUGAGUGGGCGAUCCGCCCACCCAGGAAGAGAAGAGGGAUUGUCUGUGGGGAGAUAUGUUUAUCCCAUUCCUCCAGCACACUGCUGCUCAGGGGGCCUGUUUGGGAUUGUAAAGAUAAUGAGGUGUCGAAAUGUAAUAACA